GAUGAACGCUGGCGGCGUGCUUAACACAUGCAAGUCGAACGGUGAACGAGGGAGCUUGCUCCCUCCGGAUCAGUGGCGAACGGGUGAGUAACACGUGAGCAAUCUGCCCUGGACUCUGGGAUAAGCGUUGGAAACGACGUCUAAUACCGGAUACGAGGCGUGGGGGCAUCCCCAACGCCUGGAAAGAACUUCGGUCCAGGAUGAGCUCGCGGCCUAUCAGCUAGUUGGUGAGGUAACGGCUCACCAAGGCGACGACGGGUAGCCGGCCUGAGAGGGUGACCGGCCACAAUGGGACUGAGACACGGCCCAGACUCCUACGGGAGGCAGCAGUGGGGAAUAUUGCACAAUGGGCGCAAGCCUGAUGCAGCAACGCCGCGUGAGGGACGACGGCCUUCGGGUUGUAAACCUUUUUUAGCAGGGAAGAAGCGAAAGUGACGGUACCUGCAGAAAAAGCACCGGCUAACUACGUGCCAGCAGCCGCCGUAAAAC
rnacentral:rRNA from 1 species